GACGAACGCUGGCGGCGUGCUUAACACAUGCAAGUCGAACGAUGAAGCCUAGCUUGCUAGGUGGAUUAGUGGCGAACGGGUGAGUAAUACGUGAGUGACCUACCUUUGACUCUGGGAUAAGCCUGGGAAACUGGGUCUAAUACCGGAUACGACCAACCUCCGCAUGGGGUGUUGGUGGAAAGCGUUAUGGAGUGGUUUUAGAUGGGCUCACGGCCUAUCAGCUUGUUGGUGAGGUAAUGGCUUACCAAGGCGACGACGGGUAGCCGGCCUGAGAGGGUGACCGGCCACACUGGGACUGAGACACGGCCCAGACUCCUACGGGAGGCAGCAGUGGGGAAUAUUGCACAAUGGGCGCAAGCCUGAUGCAGCGACGCCGCGUGAGGGAUGACGGCCUUCGGGUUGUAAACCUCUGUUAGCAUCGAAGAAGCGAAAGUGACGGAGGGCAGAGAAAGC
rnacentral:rRNA from 1 species